rnacentral:rRNA from 1 species
UGCCAGCCGCCGCGGUAAUACGGAGGGUGCAAGCGUUGCUCGGAAUUACUGGGCGUAAAGCGCACGCAGGCGGCUUGUUAGGUCGGGUGUGAAAGCCCUGGGCUCAACCCAGGAACUGCAUUCGAAACUGGCAGGCUUGAGUUCGGGAGAGGGUGGUGGAAUUCCUGGUGUAGAGGUGAAAUUCGUUGAUAUCAGGAGGAACACCGGCGGCGAAGGCGGCCACCUGGCCCGAUACUGACGCUCAUGUGCGAAAGCGUGGGGAGCAAACAGGAUUAGAUA